rnacentral:rRNA from 1 species
UACGGAGGUUGCAAGCGUUGUUCGGAAUGACUGGGCGUAAAGGGAGCGCAGGCGGCCAAGUCAGUCUGAAGUGAAAGCCCGGGGCUUAACCCCGGAAUAGCUUUGGAUACUGCCUGGCUUGAGUGUGCGAUAGGAAAGCGGAAUUCCAGGUGUAGCGGUGAAAUGCGUAGAUAUCUGGAGGAACACCGGUGGAGAAAGCGGCUUUCUGGCGCAUAACUGACGCUGAGGCUCGAAAGCGUGGGGAGCGAACGGGAUUAGAUACCCCUGUA